GCAAAUGAUUGAGGAAGAGAGAGAGAGAAAAGAAGAAAAAAAAACUCUUCUUUUUUUCUUCCUUUUUCUUCCUUUCCUAUUUGA